AGGGAUGUGGCUCUGUUGGUAGAUCAUUUGCCUCAUGAGCACAAUAUCCUGGGUUCAAUUCCCAGCACCGCAU
rnacentral:tRNA from 1 species